rnacentral:rRNA from 1 species
AGUAACGCGUGGGUAACCUGCCUCAUACAGGGGGAUAACGAUUGGAAACGAUUGCUAAUACCGCAUAAGCGCACAGUACCACAUGGUGCAGUGUGAAAAACUCCGGUGGUAUGAGAUGGACCCGCGUCUGAUUAGCUAGUUGGUGAGGUAACGGCCCACCAAGGCGACGAUCAGUAGCCGGACUGAGAGGUUGACCGGCCACAUUGGGACUGAGAUACGGCCCAG